AUUGAACGCUGGCGGCAGGCCUAACACAUGCAAGUCGAGCGGAUGAAGGGAGCUUUCUCCUGUCUUCAGCUGCGGACGGGUGAGUAAUUCCUAGGAAUCUGCCUUGCCUUGAGGGAUAACGUCAGGACACGGGCGCUAAUCCCACAUCCGUCCUGAUGGAGAACGUGAGGGAUCAUCGGACCUAAACCUAUUAGCUGACCCUAAGUGGGAUUAGCUAGUUGGUGUGGUAAAGGCCUACCAAGGCGACGAUCCGUAACUGGUCUGAGAGGAUGAUCAGUCACACUGGAACUGAGACACGGUCCAGACUCCUACGGGAGGCAGCAGUAGGGAAUAUUGCACAAUGGGCGAAAGCCUGACGCAGCCAUGCCGCGUGUGUGAAGAAGGUCUUCGGAUUGUAAAGCACUUUAAGUUGGGAGGAAGAGCAGUAAGUUAAUACCUUGCUGUUUUGACGGUACCAAAAGAAUAAGCAACGGCUAACUUCGUG
rnacentral:rRNA from 1 species